GCGAGUAUAGUUUAAUGGUAAAACUUUAGCCUUCCAAGUUAAUAUUGGGAGUUCGAUUCUCCCUACUCGCU
rnacentral:tRNA from 1 species